rnacentral:rRNA from 1 species
GACAUAGGUGGCGAACGUUAUCCGGAAUUAUUGGGCGUAAAGGGUGCGUAGGUGGGCAAGUAAGUCAGUGGUGAAAUCUCCGGGCUUAACCCGGAAACUGCCAUUGAUACUAUUUGUCUUGAAUACUGUGGAGGUCAGCGGAAUAUGUCAUGUAGCGGUGAAAUGCUUAGAUAUGACAUAGAACACCAAUUGCGAAGGCAGCUGGCUACACAAAUAUUGACACUGAGGCACGAAAGCGUGGGGAUCAAACAGG